rnacentral:rRNA from 1 species
CCUACGGGUGGCAGCAGUAGGGAAUAUUGGACAAUGGGGGGAACCCUGAUCCAGCAACGCCGCGUGAGUGAGGAAGGAUUUCGGUAUGUAAAGCCCUAUCAGCCGGGGAGAAAGAAAUGAUGGUACCUGACUAAGAAGCCUCGGCGAACUACGAGCCAACAGCCGCGGUAAUACGUGGGGGGCAAGCGUGAUGCGGAUUUACUGGGUGUAAAGGGAGCGUAGGCGGCGAUGCAAGUCUGAUGUGAAAGGCGGGGGCCCAACCCCCGGACUGCUUUGGAAACUGGAUGGCUGGAGUGCGGGAGAGGUAAGUGGAAUGCCUAGUGUAGCGGUGAAAUGCGUAGAUAUUAGGAGGAACACCAGUGGCGAAGGCGGCUUACUGGACUGUAACUGACGUUGAGGCUCGAAAGCGUGGGGAGCAAACAGGAUUAGAUACCCGUGUAGUC